rnacentral:rRNA from 1 species
AACGAACGCUGGCGGUAUGCUUUACACAUGCAAGUCGAACGAACUGUUGGUAGCUUGCUAUCAACAGUUAGUGGCAAACGGGUGAGUAACGCGUGGGAAUCUGCCCUAUAGUACGGAAUAGCCGUUGGAAACGACGAUUAAUACCGUAUAUCUUCCCAGGAAGAAAGACUUGUCGCUAUAGGAUGAGCCCACGUUAGAUUAGUUUGUUGGUAGGGUAAUGGCCUACCAAGACUACGAUCUAUAGCUGGUUUGAGAGGAUGAUCAGCCACACUGGAACUGAGAUACGGUCCAGACUUCUACGGAAGGCAGCAGUGAGGAAUAUUGCACAAUGGGCGCAAGCCUGAUGCAGCCAUGCCGCGUGUAUGAAGAAGGCCUUCGGGUUGUAAAGUACUUUCAGCGGGGAGGAAGGGAGUAAAGUUAAUACCUUUGCUCAUUGACGUUACCGCAGAAGAAGCACCGGCUAACUCCGUGCCAGCCGCCGCGGUAAU